UGCAUGAAGAGGAUCUGCUCAGAGCAGAGCUGAGCCUGCUUUGUAAGGAUGCCCUCGCCAGGCUCGGUCUGUGCAGUAUAAUCUGAAUAUUGAGGCUCGUUAAUCUCCAUUCCUGGCUUAGGCCGGGCUGGGCUGUGCCGGCAGCAGCGGCUGGGUUGCCGUAGGAACGAGGAAUUCAAGUAAAUAUGCUCGGGAAGGAGAAAUGUCUACUAAUUAAAUCGUAUUUGUGGCCAUGCUGCACCCCCAGGGACCAGGAACACGUGCAGAGCUCGUGCCCAAGGGAUGGGGCAGCUCCUGAGAUACCACUUUUUAUGAAGCACUACAUGAGUUGCUGAUGGAUAAAUCACCCAAGCAUGGUUAAAGAGACCCUAAUCUCCAGAUGGUACCAGAUCCAUUUAAUUGUAUCCUCUGACCUCGUCUCACCUGAGCCUGCAUUAAAAUCAUAAUACAGUUCAA